UACGGAAGGCAGCAGUGGGGAAUAUUGCACAAUGGGCGCAAGCCUGAUGCAGCCAUGCCGCGUGUAUGAAGAAGGCCUUCGGGUUGUAAAGUACUUUCAGCGGGGAGGAAGGCGGUGAAGUUAAUAGCUUCACCGAUUGACGUUACCCGCAGAAGAAGCACCGGCUAACUCCGUGCCAGCAGCCGCGGUAAUACGGAGGGUGCAAGCGUUAAUCGGAAUUACUGGGCGUAAAGCGCACGCAGGCGGUCUGUCAAGUCGGAUGUGAAAUCCCCGGGCUUAACCUGGGAACUGCAUUCGAAACUGGCAGGCUAGAGUCUUGUAGAGGGGGUAGAAUUCCAGGUGUAGCGGUGAAAUGCGUAGAGAUCUGGAGGAAUACCGGUGGCGAAGGCGGGCCCCUGGACAAAGACUGACGCUCAGGUGCGAAAGCGUGGGGAGCAAACAGGGAUUAGAUACC
rnacentral:rRNA from 1 species